rnacentral:ncRNA from 2 species
CUCGCUCUAACGGGGUGCCGGGCGGGAAACCGCGCCGGCUGAGAGGCGAAGAUGCCAACCCGCUGAACCUGAUCCGGCUCGUACCGGCGGAGGGAUUAGACGCUGCAUCGCA